rnacentral:lncRNA from 1 species
GUGCGGACAAUUUCUAAGGCAUCUGCUGGGCUUGCAUCCAUUUAGGUGUAACACAGUUCAGUGCACAGAACAGAAUUUGCCUUCAUCUGCGCUCACAUGAAACAAAUAUUUAUUCCAGAGCUGUAUGGAAGCCAUUGUUGCCUAAGGAGAAAUCAGAAUUAGGUUUGAUGCGCCCAGUCAGGAGCCACAGUGAUCAAGUUAUUUUAGGGGCACGGGUGGAGGAGUGAUGUGUUUGUGUCUCAUGUCACGAAGGUCCCUCUCACUUUUUGUUGGGUCAUCCAUCAUGCCUUGCACAAAUGCAUUUGGAGACAUUAACUCAUCCUUGGUGUGACAUGAAAAACCAUGAUGCUUUUCCAGUAAGAGUUGUGCAUACAGAAAUGAGGUUAAUUCUGGUCUACAUGGGUGCUAGCUCAGUGCAUCCUUGCACGUAGUAGCCAUGGUGUGGAUGGGGGUGUGUGCUAAGGCAGCCAAACUGCUACGUUUUGACAGUUCUGCUGCAUGCAUUAAAAUAACAUCAUCCUGGUUUGUUGUCUCUCCUCUUCCACCCUCUCCCCUCACUCAGCAAAGUCUAAAGGGAACAAGCUCCAAGUAUUAAAAUAGCUCCUGUCUAGCUUGUUCAGCCUAUUUCAGGAGGUUGGUUCCAUCUUGACACAGAUAGAAUACAGAGACAUUGUGGAAACCACAGCCACAAGGGGCCAUCGGCCAAAACUAAAUGAUUUCCCAGCUUAUGCAGAGUAGUUUGUUCUCCCCCUACCCCCUCCCAUCCCCUUUCCUAGCUUAAAAUAACAGUGGGAAGCUGUUUGGCUUUGUUUUGUUGGAUUUUUCUGCUUGCUGCACUUGGUCUGUUGUGAGGGGAUGGAAAGCUAGGAAGGAGCUGUGAGGUGGCAGAGACUUGUUGCCUUCUGGAUUGAGGUGAGACCUCCAGAACCACCAGAAAAAAACAAAACCCCACAUGUAUUUCUGGCAUGUAUUUUCAAGGAGCAAACAAACAAUCAAUGGGUAAAUCGACACAUGGAUUUAGCAGCUUGGACUAUGGAAUUAGUCUCACAUCUUGUCUUAGAUUGACCCAAAGGGCAGUGGACGUCUAUGAAGAGCAUAGGGCAAAAGUCACACAGGGAUAGCUACUGCCAGAUUAAGUCAGCUACAGGGAAGGACCCAUUUUCUGGUUCCUGUGAUUCUUCUGUUGCUACGCUAAAACUUAUCCUAUGGAGCUGUACUACUUAACACCCGCUUCCACCUUGGACUAAUUCAAAACCACCAUGAAUAAGACAAAAGUGCUAACUUCCACCAAUAUUCCACUCAUCUGCUUGGAGUGUGCCUACAGGAAGUCAACAUAUUCUGCAUUUUCUUGCCCUCAGGUUCGUAGGUCUCAUUCCAGCUCCUGCUUCUGCCCAGGGUUAUCUGUUUCUUCCUAAAGGCCUAUUUCAUACCUGCAUCAAAACUAGUAGGUUGGUAAAACUUCCAUCUUCCAGUCUAAACUGCACCAGAGUCCGUGAAUAUUGCCAAAUGCAUCUAUGGACGUGAAGGUGACCUUAGCCCUCGAGAAGAAAAAAGAUGAACUCUCAAAUUCUCACUAAAAUACUAUCCUUGUUUUGCCAAGAGGUGUCAAACUGUGGGUGUGCAAAUUACAGUGGGAAGCUGCAAACAUGAAUGGAGCCUUGGGACCAGAUGGCUCGGCACCAGAAGGGUUUGCAAGAAACUAGGCCUCGGGGUGAGCCUUGCUGCUUUGCAAGCGAGCCCCCGGUGCUUGCUCUGAAUGGUAUUCAAUGCCAGAAUUUAAUAUGCAACAAACUUUAUCACUUGAGGACUUGUGCGUCUCAUCAUUGUAAAAAGAAAAUCAGCACUAGCAGCGUGCUGGGGGCACUUUCACCUUUGUUAGCAGAAAUAGUGCACAGAUGCAAUAUCCAAGCUCAAGCAGCAAAAAGACUCAUUUAAGGGUAGUCAACGCUGUGUAAAUAGGUGAAUU